UUCGGGAACUGUAAGACAGGUGCUGCAUGGCUGUCGUCAGCUCGUGUUGUGAAAUGUUGGGUUAAGUCCCGCAACGAGCACAACCCUUAUCCUUAGUUGCCAGCGAGUAAUGUCGGGAACUCUAGGGAGACUGCCGGUGAUAAACCGGAGGAAGGUGGGGACGACGUCAAGUCAUCAUGGCCCUUACGAGUAGGGCUACACACGUGCUACAAUGGUAUGUACAGAGGGAGGCAAGCUGGCGACAGUGAGCGGAUCUCUUAAAGCAUAUCGUAGUCCGGAUUGGAGUCUGCAACUCGACCCCAUGAAGUCGGAAUCGCUAGUAAUCGCAAAUCAGAAUGUUGCGGUGAAUACGUUCCCGGGCCUU
rnacentral:rRNA from 1 species